rnacentral:tRNA from 1 species
CCUUCGAUAGCUCAGUUGGUAGAGCGGAGGACUGUAGGUGGGAUGAUGGCAAUCUUAGGUCGCUGGUUCGACUCCGGCUUGAAGGA